GGGGGAAUAUUGCACAAUGGGCGAAAGCCUGAUGCAGCCAUGCCGCGUGUAUGAAGAAGGCCUUCGGGUUGUAAAGUACUUUCAGCGGGGAGGAAGGUGUUGUGGUUAAUAACCACAGCAAUUGACGUUACCCGCAGAAGAAGCACCGGCUAACUCCGUGCCAG
rnacentral:rRNA from 1 species